rnacentral:rRNA from 1 species
CACGUAGGGGGCAAGCGUUAUCCGGAAUUACUGGGCGUAAAGAGUACGUAGGUGGUUUUGUAAGCGCAGGGUUUAAGGCGACGGCCCAACUGUCGCAUGCCUUGCGAACUGCGAAACUUGAGUGCUGGAGGGGAAGGCGGAAUUCCUAGUGUAGCGGUGAAAUGCGUAGAUAUUAGGAGGAACACCGGUGGCGAAGGCGGCCUUCUGGACAGUAACUGACACUGAGGUACGAAAGCGUGGGGAGCAAACA